GUCCACGCCCUAAACGAUGUCUACUAGUUGUUGGUGGAGUAAAAUCCAUGAGUAACGCAGCUAACGCGUGAAGUAGACCGCCUGGGGAGUACGGUCGCAAGAUUAAAACUCAAAUGAAUUGACGGGGGCCCGCACAAGCGGUGGAUUAUGUGGAUUAAUUCGAUGCAACGCGAAAAACCUUACCUGGCCUUGACAUGUAACGAACUUUCCAGAGAUGGAUUGGUGCUCGAAAGAGAGCGUUAACACAGGUGCUGCAUGGCUGUCGU
rnacentral:rRNA from 1 species